CAUUCCAGUGAGGAAGAAAGAGUCACUGGAGUCUUGGUUUUGCUUUUCUUUUGGUCUUUUCUUCCUCUGAGUAAGAUAUAUACACGCCGUGCUUCCUAGACGAUGGGACAGCUCCGCACUCUUGACUGGCCUGGUCUCGACCCAGCCUUCUGUGAUUCGCAGUGACAGCCAGAACAGGCGGACUUUUCUUUUCUAUGCUGUAAAAUUGCAUUUCAAGGAUCAACACAGAGAAUUGGCCAGAAAGGGAAAGCAAAUGUGGAGAGGGAAAAAUGAAUGUUAUCUGGAGUUUUCAAACAGCAGGAGCACCGCCAACUGGUUUGUGAGGAAAAGCAUCUGCUGGUAGGGUUCCCCUCCCUCCACCCUCCCCAGUUACACUCAGCGAGCCAGUUCCGAGGGAAGGAUUACAACUGCCUGAGUGGUUGAAAAACAGGGAAAAGCCUCAGGCCUGUCUAAGAGACUCCCAAAGCAGACAAUCCAUUGCUGUUGCCCUUGGAUCCCCACCCCGAGGUGGAAGGUAAGUCCCUAUUGAUGAAGACGCUCUGCACUUUAGAAACAGGCCCCAGAGACUGCUGAGCAGGAGCUGACCUGAAAACCCCUCACUGAGAACUAGCUUUUAUGGCAGUGGAAAGCAUCAUGCAAGUUCCCAGAGGAGGAAGGCAACCAACAGUCCUACCCAGAUAUGGUGCCUAUGACCAGCAUCAGUGACCAGCAUGGCGCAAUAACCCUACAGGUCCCAUUCAUUUUGCAUGCCUUUGUAUCUGCCCUCUACUAUUGCAACCUCCCCCAAAAAAAUAAAAAAUAAGAGAGAAUUUAAGCGAGAAAAGAAAAACAAAAGGAAGAA